UCAAUAGUCUUUUAAUUGAAGGCCAGAAUGAAUGGUUGAACGAGAGAGAAACUGUCUCUUAUUAAAUAAAUUGAAAUUUACUUUUAAGUGAAAAGGCUUAAAUACAUUUAAGGGACGAUAAGACCCUAUAAAUCUUUAUAUUAAUUAAUUAUAUAUUUUAUAAAUAUUUUAUAUAAAUAAAAUAAAUAAUAAACAAUAUUUUAUUGGGGAGAUAUAAAUAUAAUAAAUAACUAUUCUACUUUUAUUACAAUAAUAAUUGAUUAUCCAUCAAAAAGAUCCUUUAUAUAAGACUUUAAGAUUAAGUUACUUUAGGGAUAACAGCGUUAUCUUUUUUGAGAGUCCUCAUCAAAAAAAAAAUUGCGACCUCGAUGUUGAAUUAAAAUAUCUUUAUGGUGCAGAAGCUAUAUAAGAAAGUCUGUUCGACUUUUAAAAUUUUACGUGAUC
rnacentral:rRNA from 1 species